rnacentral:piRNA from 1 species
UGAUAAAUCAGAGAAAAGGUAGGUAAG